GAUGAACGCUGGCGGCGUGCUUAAUACAUGCCAGUCGACCGGAAAGGCCCGGCUUGCUCGGUGCUCGCGUGGGGAACGGAUGGGUAACAAUCAUGUGAUCUACCCCUAAAUUCGGCUUAAGCUUGUUAAACUAAGCCUAAUACCUGAUAGGUCAAACGUUUAGUGUCGUUUUUGUAAAGUUUAGUAGGUUAGUGCUGAGCCUGCUGGCUAUCAGCUUGCUGGUUGUGUGAUGUACUACCAAGGCGUCGACGAGUAGCCGGCCUGAGAAGGUGGACGGCCACAUAGGUACUGAAAAAAGGCACAGACUCCUACGGGAGGAAGGGGUGGGAAAUAUUGCACAAUGGGCGCAAGCCUGAUGCAGCGAAGCAGAGUGGGGGAUAAAGGACUUCGGGAUGUAAAACUCUUUCGACAGGAACGAAGCUUUGGUGACGGUACCUGUAUAAGAAGGCACGGCUAAAUACGUG
rnacentral:rRNA from 1 species